UGCGCGACCUGCACCGCCACAGGUACUGGGUGUUCAUGGCGGCGCGAGCUGGGUGGGAUUCGCGAGCUCGAUGGUGAUGACGCUGAGCCUGCUGGUGCGGAUGGCCGUGGGUCGUUCGCCGUGGCCUACUCCAGCCUCGUGCUCACCUUCGUGGUGUCGCCGUGGCUCGUAAUCUGAUUAGCAGCUGCCUGUCAGAAAGAUGUGUGUGGUGGAAUUUGUUAUGCAAGCUGUAGUGUAGCUAGAAAACUCUGUGACCUGGGAACUUGAAAAUUCUGUAUUAGGAUUUACUGUAUCGAAUUUGUUGCAGAUGUUGUCAGCUAAUUAUAUGGUAUGAACAAACUAUUUUACGAGUGAACUGAGUGGAGCACAUUUAGUUAAGUUUAUUGUGGUGAAACUUGGCCACUCGAUUUGAAUUCUAAACUCAGUACAGGUACCCUUUUAUGUAUGUAUGUAUGUAUGCAUGCAUGCAUGCAUGCAUGUAUUCAAACAGCAGGUGAUUUAUCCGGGCGACUUUGAUGGCUUCGUUAGUCUUAAAAUUUGUUGGUUCAUCUUUUGGAGAUGCUCGUAUUCGCAAGGAGAGUAUGUGUGCGUGCAUGUAGCAUAUGCAUAUGUACGGUGUUUCGCCAAAUAAAACUAUUUUAGAAGAAGGGGUGGGCAGCAGAAUAGGUCAAAACCACAAAAAAAACAGGUUUUGUUAAGAAUUUUUUUUACAGUGCACAGUACUACUACGGAUAUAUAGUAUAUAGAAUAUCUAACAGUCUAUUAUUAUAGAUAAUUUAGUAAUUAUUACAUUAUAAAAAGUGAUAUUUUAAAUGGAAUGAUCUUUUAGACUUUAUGCUAGUGUCAAAAAAAUAUUAUAAUGAUGUUAUUUCUGUUCUUUUACCAUGAUACUCUUAUAUUAUACUCAUGUAUACUAGUCAUACCACAUGUGAAAUUUUCAGUAGUAUACAAUUAAUCUUGACCAUCGGAUGUUUUUAUACUAGUCCUUUUUGAAUGCUACUAUAGUCUAGUAUUGUGCAUCAUAAAAGAGCUUAAAUUCUCUAGCUAGCCGUGCAGCAUAAACAUUUCUAUCGUGCAUCAGAUAGUUGUCUGUCUAAUUUAUGCUUUGUUCUCGUAGAUAACUUUUUAAGAGACUUGCUCCUACUCAUAUUGACUUCCUUUUUUAAUAUUGGAGAUGGGUACUGUCAAAAAAUACGAGGAUAUAAGGCCGCCAUUCUUUUUGUUGGAGGGAAGGGGAGAUGAAGCGUGGAUGAGUCGCAUUGCAUGAGCACACACGAGACCUGGUCAAAGUAAACUCCAGCAAUGGAAGAACCCAGGUCAACCCUGAUCGAGAAGACGAGGUAAUCCAUUGCAUUCCUAGAGAGAUACACCAUUUGUACCAGAAGGCGUGUUCAUAGCUGCAAUGCUAACGACGCACAUUAUCAUUAAUAAGUCUCAGCUCUCAUGCCCUGAUGUACAGGGCAAGAAAAUUCUGUAGCCAUAUAUAAAUAUAAUAUAGCCAUAUAAAUUUUUAAAGGUCACCAACUCACCAUCAAAUAUAUGGCUAGCUCUGUCACCAUAGAAGGGAUGAGCCUACCUCUGCAGGUUUGAACUCAUCAAGGAUGAAGUGGGAUUGCGUAGGAUGGCCUGAGGCACUCCGUUUUUGGCCUAGUUUUUCUGUGCUUAUGAGUGAGUUAAUGCCUUAAUGGACUUGUGUAACCAGAACAUCUUUGCAAUCUAGACUUGCUUUCUUUCUCCUUAAAUGAAUCACCAGUGCUCCUGCUUAUUUUCAAAAAAAAAAAGCCUAGCUCUGAUUUGUCUUUGACAAAUAUUCUAGUACAUUUACAUGGGGUUUCUUUAUAUCUUCAAAAAAUUUGGACAGUUUCACUGGUUUUUUCCCCUUUUUAUUUUAGGAAUAUUUUUACCGGAUAGUUACUGUUCUUGGGUACCAGGGCAACGUGGGCGUGGCAUUAUACUUGAGGUACUACGUUGAACGUUUCAACACAGACACUGCAGUGUACUCAGAUCGGCCAGCAGAAGAGGUUUGGGCUUCAGAAAUGAGAGGAUCCAAGUGUCACAUAACGCGGUUGGAGGACGGGACAAAAUGCAUUGACUUGACCUGGAGCAAUGAGCACCAGGAGAGUUGCAUAAAGGCCUUGGAUCCAACAUUUUGCUUCCAAAAAUUUCCAACGCCAAGCUCAGCUUCCAUCAACUCCAUCUGCCGACACCUCGCUAAUUCCUCGCCAGAUCGUUAGCCCGCGUACGUGCCGCAAUGGAGCAGCAGCCUCGCGUCCACCCAAACACGGCGCCUUUCAACCUGGAGACGGGCCACGCCGCCGCCGGCGGCGGUGUGUACCCGCCGCUGCCGACGACCCACGGCCAGUCCGCGAACCAGCAGCAGCUCGGCGGGGCCGGGCCCAACAGCUGGGUGGGCAACGACGCCAACACGCUGCUGGUGGUGGCGGCGCUGAUCACGACGCUCACCUACCAGCUCGGCACCAGCAUCCCCGGCGGGUACUGGCAGCAGGAUACGGCCGGCGUCGUCGGCCGCGACGGCAAGCCGGUGAUGUACCGCGCCGGUGACCCCAUCAUGCGCGACCUGCACCGGGCGAGGUACUGGGUGUUCAUGGGGGCGAGCUGGGUGGGGUUCGCGAGCUCCAUGGCGAUGACGCUGAGCCUGCUGGUGCGGAUGCCCGUGGGCUCGCGCCACGUCCGGUGGUCGUUCGCGGUGGCCUACUCCAGCCUCGUGCUCACCUUCGUGGUGUCCCAGCCUAAGACGCACCUGUCGGUGGACAUCAUAGUCUGGCUCGCCGUCCUCGCCUUCCUCUGGAUCGUCAUCAGCCUCCACCCCGACCGCCGCGCGCGCGUCAUCCAGGACCUCUGCUGCAGCGGACGCCAAGC
rnacentral:lncRNA from 1 species